AUGGCUGCACAAAUACCAGAAUCUGAUUAGAUAAAACAGUUUAAGGAAUUUCUUGGAACCUACAAUAAACUUACAGAAACCUGCUUUUUGGAUUGUGUUAAAGACUUCACAACAAGAGAAGUAAAACCUGAAGAGACCACCUGUUCCGAACAUUGCUUACAGAAAUAUUUAAAAAUGACACAAAGAAUAUCCAUGAGAUUUCAGGAAUAUCAUAUUCAGCAGAAUGAAGCCCUGGCAGCCAAAACAGGACUUCUUGGCCAACCACGAUAGAGAAGUCCUAAUGGAUGGACUUUUGAUCAAAGAUUGCCAGCAGCUAUUGUGAUGGAAAUGAGGAUUCAUCUCAUAGAAUCCCCUGAAAGCAGUAGCCACCAUAUUAAACUGUCUGUCCUAACUUUGGCAAAUGGAAACAACUGGAGAAACAAAAUUGCUAUUUACCAAGAAUAAUCAAAACAGGAGGUCUUAUUGUUAAAUGAAUAUAAUAAGAUGCAACAUUUGUUGAGGCCUUAAGAUUCAGCAGCUUGGUAAUUUCAUUAGAAAAAUAAACCAUUGUUUCUUCAAUUGUGACUGUUAAUUUUAAAGCAAAAUAUGUGUUCAAUCAUGUAUGAGACAGAAUUUUUUAUUACUAAAAGUAAAAUAAAUGGAAGUAUCACUGAGCAGUUGUUUAUACUAUAUAUAUAGUACCAUAGUAUUCUGACUGGACUGUGGAUACGUUGAAAUGUUUUUCUAUCACGAUCAUCCUCCAAGUAUUCCUUUUCAUUCAUGUCUGCCUCAAAUUGCUGGUAAAUACAUAAAAUAGUUACUUGCUAAUCAUUUCAACACACGAUCGUUUCUUGCCUCCCUUCUUGUGUCAGGGUGGCCAUUAUACAUUCGUAUCCUAGCCAUAUUUUUCAUAUGUCUACAGGAAACAUCCCAUCUGAGACUACCUUGUGAAUGUGUAAGAGUUGACUAGUAUGCUCUAGUGGAGACUGUGUUUUGUGUUUUGUUCAAAAGCUGAGUCCAACAUGAAUGAUUCUCAGUCCAACAUUAUACAGUGUAUUCUCAUCCAUGACGUGUGAUCAGUGCAAUAAAAAGUGAAGUUAAAAAAA